UUAGUUUCUUUUAAAAAUACUAAACAUUUUUUUCGCGCAAAAUGCAAUUUCAAAUUGUUAUUAGAGUACUUUACCUACAUAUCUUCAAUCUUGCGACAGUUACUUUGAUUAAUUCUUUAGAAUCUCAUGAAUGUAAUGAAAAAAUUAUGACUAACGAAGAACCCUCGUUAAAGCUUGAAGAUACGUCAAACAAUUUUAUUUACAAAGUUACCGAUAAAAAAAUCGCUUGUGAAACACAAUUGUUUAGUUAUUAUAAUUUGUUAUAUUUACUAUAAUAUUAUAUGUGCAUGAAUGAUAUUUACAAGAUUAUUGUGGAAAAUUAAAAAUAGAUGGAUACAAUAUUGUUACAAUGUGGACUGUACCGGCUUAUUUUAUGGAAUAUCUGGGUCGAUUAAACGUAGAAACUAUAAUUUUGUAAUAAACAAAAUAAUUGUCUGGUUUUUUCUGCAGAGCAAAUGCAGACCGAACGCUUAUCGAACUAUUUUAAAAACAAAAAAAUGAACAAAACUCUAUGCGGUACCUUAUGGUACGUCGCAAAAAAAUAAUUGAAAAACAAGAAAUAGAAACAUAAUUUUUAAGUCACAAGGUUUAAAAACUUUUAUUCUUAAAGGUUGUUUAGUUCAAAGUGAAAUUAUUAAAGAUCAUUAUUUUCGGAAAGCAAAAUAUUUUUUAUGAUUUUUUCAAGUAUAUAAUUUUGUUACUUAUUUGUUUUUCAUUAUUUUAAAGUUUGAUGAAUUAUUUAUGAAUGAAAUGAAGAAAUACAAAGAGAUAAUUAGAUCUAAUGAAUUUACAACAAGCGAUUUGCAUAAAAUUUCAAAUAUAUUGACAGAAGAUAUUGUGAAACCAUUGGUGGAAGGAACACAUGAAUGCUAUAAAUUUAUAAACAAAGAAGAUGCGUAUUAUUUUAUUAAACAAAUUACAAAACCUGAUAUAGACUAUACAGACAAUUUUAAUCAGUCAAUAAAUUGUUUUUAUGGUUCCAAAAAGAAAUACGUAAAAUUAUCUGAUUUAUGCAAUUUUUUAAAAGAAACUAAACUUGAAAUCGAACCUAAAUAUUUGGACAGUUUGAUUACCGUUUGGAGUUACACUCGUCUAAUAAUAGCACAACCCCAAUUGUUAUUAUCGUGAUAAAUAUUUUAUUAUCUAUCUAUAAUUUUUUGUGUUAAUAUAAAGGAAUUGAAAAGUUUUAUGAUGUAUUUUUCCGAUAUCAUAUUUAAUAAUUUUUAUAUUUAUAUACACUGUGCUAUAAUGUUACUUAUAAAGAUUUAUAUUUCUGCUUAAAAGUUGAACUUUCUAAAAUUACUUACCCAUAUUUCAUUUUGUAAUAAUUUAAAAUUAAUGAUAGUACUUUUUUAAUUAUAUUUUAGCUGAAAU